rnacentral:lncRNA from 1 species
UAUUGCGCAAUUAGGAACACAAACCUAAUAACAUGUUUUCUACCCUUAACAACUAUAGCGUGCAUAUUUUCCCAUCCCUUUUCACUAGCCACCCCAAUACUGGUUUACAAAUUAUUAUAGACCAUGUGAUAAAAUUACGUAAGAAAUGAAGAAUAAGAAGUUACAACUAUAGGAAGCCUGAUUAUAACUUCCUCUCUAUGUUAUGUAAUAAACCACCUCAAAUGCCAAUAUUGUUCCAAAGCCUUUCUCAUAUCUGCGUGUAUCAGAGUUCCCUAAGGACCUCAAGGGAUCCCGGGCAGCGCUCACACCCAGAUUGCAUAACCAAGAUUAAGUACAGUGUGGAAGGGCCAGCUCUUAUGUGUCCAGGUUCAGAGGGAGCUCAAGGGUCCCAAAACAAUGCUCACACAAGAUGGGCAGAACCUAAUGAUCUAAGAGAUCAUGUGAGAGUGCUUGACAUAGAUUUAAGAUAGUUGAGUUGGAAAAUAGUUUUGAAAGGGACAGGGGAUAGGGGGAACAAUCAACAGAUGCAGAAUAAGUUCAGAGAGUAGUACAGCUUCAGCAGUUACAAACAGGGGAGUAGGGGUUGGGGACAUAGAGGACCCAAAUCAGAAACACAUAAUUAAUCAUGAAUCAAGUACAUUAGGAGACAUGCUGGUUGAGGGAUAUAAACAGGAACAAGUAAACAGGCUGAUUACAUUUGAACAAAAGGAGAGCAGAAUUUUAAGCAUGCUGAGUAAAGCAGUGAACAAGAAAUAUAAUUUAACAGCAUGAGCCAUUAAAUUAGUGCAAGAGACAGGGGUUGACAAACAAGGGAACGCGUAGAGUUGAGUUUCAUUAUUAAAACUAGGGACAUACCAGUUGAAGAAGCAAAGUGCAGAAAAAGUAAAGCAAUUAGAGUUUCACAGUCUAGCCUUGGCUUUCAGCUGGCAAGCAGUAGCACAAGUAGUAGUAAAGAAAGAGAGAGUUUGAGUGUGUAAGUGUGUGUUCUGAACUAAAUUAUUCCUGUGUUUAAAGAAGAGAGGGUAGUGUAUUUAUAGCUUUGAAAAGAAGUGGAAAAUAAGGUAAAAAGUAAAGGUUUAACAAAAAUAUGGAAAUAAUCAUCAUCAAAAUCAAUUAAUACAAUCACUUCCCCUUAAUCAAGGAGUUACCGCUCAAAUGGAUACUACAGGGAUAAUUAAGGGAAGAGAAUCAGUUUGAGAAAGAUUGAUUUUUUAUCAUAUAAGGGAUGGUAAAAGUAUUGAGUAUAUAAUUGAGUCUAGGUACAGAAUAUACUUAAUUUUGGGGAAAGGAUUCAGCAGGGGUGAAGCAUCAUAGCAAAUAAAGGGAGGGAAUCAAUCAACUUAAACAAACGAGUAAAAUUAGGGGUUUAUAAGAAAACCUUGAAAUCAAACAAUGACUUAAGGAAAUCAAGAUCAAUCAAGAAGGAGUCAUGAUUCUGCACUUCGACUUAUAAAUAGAAAAGAAUGAACAGGCGUAUCAGACAUGCAGGGUCAAACAUAUUGACAAAAAGAAGCAAACUAGAUGAACACAAACAUUCAGAAGUGACAUGAAUAGGCUAAGGACUACUCGAAGCAUGGUAAUCAACAAAGUCAAGUAGUCAUGGCUCACACAUAAAAUCAAAAUGAAGAAACUAGUCUAACACAUAGCAACAGGUAGAGGAGAUCUGACCAACAUACAAAAAUAAGUGAAUGAAGUCUUCAAAAGCUCAAAGUAACAAGUGAGGAAAAUUUUAAGAAAUUGGGGUUUUAACAAAGUUGGGUUAAAAACGGUAAGAACUCAGAAUCAGUCAAGACAAACAAAGGAAAGGAUCUAACCAUAAAGAACCCAAUCAAAUAGGUAUACAUACAAAAUAAACAAGGACAGUUCCAAGACCCCGGAUAAAACCAAAGAUACUUAGGGUUUUCAACACGAUGAAUCAGGUAGAAGAAAAAACAUAAACAAACCGUUUAAAUAUAGUAAAAUCAUAAGAUAAUACUGAAAAAUUAGAGGAGAAGUCUUUUGAAAGAGUUUAAGAAACCCUAAUCUUGAAGACGGAGAGUCGCUUUGAAAAAUCGGAGAGAUCUUUGUGGAAAACACCAAAAGUUUCAUAACAUACAUAGAUCUAAGACGGAUCUGAAAGAAAAUUGAAAAAUCUUUAAAUUUAGGGUUUCGGGGAACCCAGAAAAAGUGAGAAAACUUCGAAGAGUUACCGAUCUAGCCGGAAAAGCCAUCAAUCUGACUUGAACGGCCAUGGAUGGCCGGAAGAAGACCAUGGAUAGAAGUUGACCAAGGCCUGGACUAGUUCUCUUUGAGAUCUUUCCACAAAAUCACAAAAGCGGGCCACUAGAAGACGUAGGAGAUGAGUACACGUCUCAAAUAGCAUAAGGAGUCCACGGAUUGAGUGAGGAUCGAAGGGGGUUAGGGCUAGAUUGGGUGGCGGUGGCUUGGGUUUGAGUGAGGUUGCAGAGAGAAUUGGAGAGGAAAGAGGAUUCAAGAGAGGCGGGUUGGUGGGAAAUGAAUUAGGUUAGGAGGUCGUUUGGGUUUAAUUUGGUAAGGGGCAACGUGGACCGUUGAUCUGGGAGAUCAACGAUCGAGAUUAGAGAGGGUAGGUUUGGGAUCCGGUUUGGGCUUAGGUUAAAAAGGGUGUGGGUCGGGUUAAAUUAAAAUUGGGCUGGGAUUUGGGGUCCAAUUUGGGCUAGAUUUGAAAGCCAAUUUUGGCUACAAGUUAAAUAGCUAUUUUUCCCUUUUUAUUUAUAAAAUAAUAGUAAAUAGUUUCUGAAAAUAAAUUGAAAGUACUAAAGUGAUUUACAAUACCUAAUUAACAAUUUAAAAAUACAGGACCCAAUUUUAUGAAUAUAAAACCUAAUUAAACCUUAAAAGGGCGAAUAUUGCAAUUAUGUGCAAUUUAGCUUUAAAAUACUAAAUGAAAUUGUAAAAAUUACUUUAGUCAUAUUUUGACAUAAAUAUAAAAAUCCAAUAGGUGAAUUAUCAAAAUAAUAAUUUUGUAAAUAAUUAUUGGGAUUUUAUGGAUGUAAAGGGGGAAAUAAAUCAAUUAAAAACCCAUUUAAAAUUAUGAAAAAAUAAUAAACCCCUUGGACAUGCUUAUAUAUGCAUACAUUUGUUAUUUUGAAGGUAUUUUGUAUAUUGAAAAUAUAUAGGAAAAAAUUGGGUAUCAACACCUAUGUGGCUAAAAGUGACUAAAAAUGCAAGAUUUGGCUAAGACCCCGCGAAGCCAAGGACCUAAGAUUCACUAGGAAGACCGGACCCUAUGUGGGUUGCCUACGUACCUCGCCCCAAGAGAAUAGAUAUGGGCAAGAAUUAAAAAAAAUAACUAAUUUAGAGAAAAUAUGUUUUUUGUCCCUUUUUUGAAAAAUGAUAGAACAUGUAAACUCUUUUUUGGAUUUUCUUUUCCAUUUUUUUUUUAUAUUUGGAAAAUGAUGAAAAAGUGCAAAAUCUUUUCUCUUUUUUGAAUUUUCAAGCUCUUUUUUUUCUUAACAAAAAUGUGACAGAAAACAUAAUUGGGUCAUACUCGCUUUAUCCUCACACUUCGCCCUCUCUUUUUUCAUUUUUUUUUUAUUUCCCCUCAACUAUCAUUGUCCGCCAAAUGAUCCUUUUUCCCUUGAAGAAAUGCAACAUGUAACACAUAGGAUGCAUCAAGAUGGUAUGUUAUUUUGGGUCAACCUGUCCUAGACGGACCCAACCCCUAUGUUGAGUCCCCUAAGUCAAAUGCACAUGAUGCAAACAAACGUUCCUACUAGGGAUCCGGCAUGAGGCUGUGUUUUUCUAGGUUUGAAUCCUGGGGUUUUUUUCUAGACUUGGGUUACCCGAGCGGAUAACUGGGGCCGAAGAGGGGGAAACGUACCGGAGCACUAAAGACUACCUGGCCUUGUUGCUGGCCCAACCUCGUUCUAUUUGGUAUAAUUUCUACAGAAAAAGCGGGUCAUGCAAACGUGUGCACCAUUUUCGGAGGACUCAGAGGGGUGGCGUAAGAAGACAGUUAUAUACAAUUCAAACAAUAAUAAAGCGGUAAACAGAUAGCAUUUAGCACAAAAGGUUCACAAAAUACAGCAAUAUGAACAAUAAAUAAAGUCAAGUAAAAAUCAUGAAACAAGCUCGAAUUUUUGAACCCUGAACCAGUGAUUCUAGGUUCUUAUCCCCAGUGGAGUCGCCAAAGCUGUCACACCUCCUUUUUAUCACCCCAAAUAGGGAUAUAAGGGAGUUUUUUUCAAUUUAAGUGACAACCAAAACGGGAUUAUUUAUUAAAAUCAGAGGCGCCACUUGGGAUAAUUUAUGGUGUCCUAAGUCUCCGGUUAAAAACUCGAAUCGAGGAAGUUGACUCUUAUUUACGGUCUGUGAACACAGAAAUCCGAGUAAGGAAUUCUGUUAACCCGGAAGAAGGUGUUAGGAACUCCCGAGUUCCGUGGUUUUAGCACGGUCGCUUUGAUCAUACCAGGCUUAUUAAAUUGUCUAAUUACUCAAUUUUAGAACCUAUGCGCAUUUACCUUUUACCGCUUUUAAAUUAAGAAAAUUAUCUUGAAACGGGUCACGCGUACAUGUACCCAUUUGUUUGGCGUGUCAAAAAUCAUGUCACGCUUACGUGUCCACAAUUAAUGAUGCUUUAUUAUUAUUAAGAAAUUUUGGCCGAAGUUGCGCGAACGCAUACUCCAAUUUUGUUUUAAAGAUCGUAAUUAUGUCAUACGACCGUGUCCACAAUCACAACGAUAUAUUAAUCGCGCUUGAAGCAACUACGAAUAUUCGUUUUUUAGUAUCUAAGUUAUAAAAUUAAUGUGAGGGCUAUGAGCGAUUUAUUUAUGGAUGGUACACCUCAAUCUAUCCUUAAGGAAUCGUAAUUAUGUCACGCGAACAUGUCCACAAUCACGACAAUAUAUUAAACGCGCCUAAAGCAAGCUACGAAUAUUCAUUUAGAAACCAUAAUUAUGUCAUGUGAAUGUGUACAUAAUCACUGUAAGAAAUUCAAAAGGUGCCUAAAGGUUCGCCUACCCGGGUGUGGUCGACCUAAACAUGCUACUAGCGGAUAAUACAAUGAAAUAAAACACCAAAAAUGAAAUAGUAUAGUACUCGAAUCUCAAUUCUGUUUCUUUCCAAUUCCAACUCCACGUCCCAAAUUCGUUUCAAUAAUUUCGGCCAAGAUUCCUUUUCCAAAGCUUAUCAAUCUACGGUCCAUUCAUCCAACUUAAACCAAUAAUCCUUAAAUUAAUUCUGUCAUCAUAAAUUAUGCUAUAUUCACAGUAUCAAUCAAACGAGCAAUUUGACUGUGUAAAGUUCACUAAAAUGUCCUAAUACGGACAACUUCAGAUCAUUCCAAAGAGAAAACAAAACACAUCACCAUAGCCAUAUAAAUCAAAAACAUACGCAUCAAAUUAAGAAGAAUAAAGUAACAGAGAAAGAAUUGGACCUCAAAUUGAUUAGUUUUCCUUUGAAGAAGUAGAACAAUUCUAAUUUCAGUUUUUAACCCGGACUAGAUAGCACCAUUAUAGGCAUCAAAAGGAUGGCAAAGCACUUACUGGAACAUGUAGCUCGAAUAGAACCUCAAAUCGGCGACAAAAUUCGCAACAAACACGUACUCCAAUAUCAUCCAUUUGGAUCGAAAAUCAAAGGACUCCAAGUUUGAGAUGAAAAAUCGGAAAAGAACUGAAAGAAGGAGACUUAAUGUUUUCGUUCCCAUUUUUUCGCUCUCUGUCCAUGUACCUCUGUUUCUCUUAUUAUUUGUGUGUGAGUGGUUUCCGGUUUCCGACCAUUUCUGAUGGUGAAAGAGCAGCAACAGGUCUACUGUGAGGUGAGGGAUUCUGGAGGUGAGUGUUGAAGAAAAAGAUCCACCUUGUUCAAGGGUGGUCGUUCACGAACCAGGGGAAACGGCUGGGGGUCCUCUUUCUGGUUAGGAUGCUCUAGAGUUUCAAGCGUGUGAAGAAGAUGAAGAUGAGGGUGUCAUUUGGGGUGGGGUCUGUGAAGACGUUCAGCCGCUACGCAUUUUAUGGAUGAAGAAGAGGAAAGCUCUUAUUUGCUGAAAGUUGGAGGAGAUGAUAUCAAGGGGGUGGGGUCCUUUUCACAAACGGCCAAUUUUUGCC